CACGAACUCGGGUCGGUCGUUCAGCAGAGCGUCCAUGAGCGACGCCUCCAAGUGGAAGGACUGCGGGGAGGAGUGGGGCACGGGAUGAGCAGGGACAGAGGCCAGGGAGGCGCCGAGGUGGAGGCAGAGGACGAGGGCUGAGCAUACAUGCUCACUGCUCCACACAGCGCCUGGUGCACCCCAGAAGCCUAAGGAGUGAACCCCAUCCAUCCUCUGCUACCUGAAAGGCCAUGUGGCCAGCGCCUGAGUCCCCAGAGACUCACAGCCCCACCCCUGAACCACAGCUUACAGAGCUGCUGCGCUUUCUCCUGGGAGCCUGCUGGGUUAACUUCUGAAAAGCAAACCGGAUUUGCCCACUGGCUGUCACCCUCCGUUUGAAGAUGUGUCCCCAAGGAGACAGAAUCACACAAGAGCCCCCCUUCAUGGGGUCCCCACUGAGGACCAGGCACUGCCACUGGGGCCCACGAUGCUCCUGCUAGGAUCUUGCUAUGUAGCCCAGGCUGGCUUUGGAUUCACGGUGAUUCUCCUGCCUCAGCCUCCCAAGUACUGGGACAAAGGUGUGUGGCACCAUGCUGGCUAAGGAAUAUCAUCAUCGCGUGUGUGUGUGUGUGUGUGUGUGUGUGUGUGUGUGUGUGUUGCUGGGAACAGAGCCCAGGCCUUCAUACAUGCAAGGCAAGGGCUCUUUCACUGAGCCACAUCUGAGCCCCUCAUCAAUGAUUAAAAGUGGCAGCGAGACAGAGAAUUUGGACCUGAAGGUGCUUGUGAG
rnacentral:lncRNA from 1 species